rnacentral:rRNA from 1 species
AGCUCCAAUAGCGUAUAUUAAAGUUGCUGCAGUUAAAAAGCUCGUAGUUGGAUUUCUGGACUGAAGCAUUUAGCCGGCCGCGGUUUCGCGUGUUAGUGCUGGAUGCUCUGUCCAUCCUUCCAAUCGCUAUUGGCUAUUCUUCAUUGAAUGGUCCGUAGUAUUGGAUCUUUUACUUUGAAAAAAUUAGAGUGUUUCAAGCAGGCUUUAUGCUAUGAAUACAUUAGCAUGGAAUAAUAAUUUAGGACUUCGGUUCUAUUUUGUUGGUUUCUAGGACUGAAGUAAUGAUUGAUAGGGACAGUUGGGGGUGCUAGUAUUCAGCGGCCAGAGGUGAAAUUCUUGGAUUCGCUGAAGACUAACUUAUGCGAAAGCAUUCACCAAGGAUGUCUUCU